rnacentral:rRNA from 1 species
UGGGAUUGUUAUACCACCUGAAUGACCAGUCUCAUCUGAUCUUUGAAGCUAAGCAAAGCUGGGUCUGUUAGAAUUAGGAUGGGAGACUACAGGAGAAAACCAGGUGCCCUGU